rnacentral:lncRNA from 1 species
UACAUAAAUAAUAUGUAUGUAUCAAUCAUCUAAUCUUACAGCUACAGGGCGGUUCUAACAGAUAUAUUUGGGAAUUCAAUGUGUCGCCGAACAUUAAAAACCAAUAAGAAUGCAGAGUGUUUGCGCAUGACGGUUUCGAUGUCAUUCCGUUUCUUAAUAAUUAUUUUAUUCAGUAUACUUUUAAAGCCGGAACUGUCAACUGCAACAUAUAUGCAUACAUUCAUCUCUCCAAUAGAGAUUUAAUAUUUCGCAUAUUAUGCAUUAAUC